AUUUAUUUGUUAUUUUAAUUGAUAACCUCUUGAUUCGUGUAUCCAAAACAACAUUAUAUUAAACAUGAAUCCGACGUUAAAGUUGUGCGUGAUAUUAAUUCUUUUAUUUCUAUAUUAUUCAUUUGUAACUUGUCAAAGAACAUAUGAUUUUGAAAUAACUGUUCAAAGUCAAGCUAUAUACGUUCUUCCAAAGUGUCCUGUAGGUUACAAAAGGAUUGGCACCAAAUGUGUUGAAACUUUUUUAGAGUCAAUAACAAGGGAACAAAAAUCAAAACAUUAACAACAUGAAACUAUUUCUAUUAUUUGUGUGCCUUUUGUUUAUUGUUUCUAAUGUCUUAGGCACAAAACUGGAAGUAAAAUUAAAGAAAAAUCAUACGACUCCAAAUCCUCGUACCAAAUGUGUCAUUUGUGGUAUAUGUCCAACCGGCCAAAGUUAUGUAAACGGAGAUUGUAGAGACGAAUGGUAAAUAAAAACUUAUAAAAAUUC